rnacentral:lncRNA from 1 species
CGCUACCCACCGCCCUCUCCACCGCUGCCACCAGCCAACACUGCCCACCACCACCAUCCAGCUGCCAACCACCCAGCCACCACCAACAAACGCUAGUACAUAGUCGCCAAUCUCAUCAUCAUCAAUAUUACACCAGUUCCUAGUCUAGAUUCAGCCAACAUCAUCAUCUCUAACAACUCUAGAUCCCAACACGCUCGACCAUUUUUAUACUUAGAUCCGCCAUCUCUGUUUGGUCAAAAACAAAAAUCAGAUCUGGAUUGUGAAAACUUUCUCCACCAUAGUUGCCGUCAGAUCUG